CCACCAAUAAACUUUCUUCAUAUCUUGAUACAUCUUGGUGGCUCCGGGGUGAACGCUGUAUCUUGCAUUAUGAGCCUCUCUCAUAAUGUCUCCUUUUAGCCCUAUGUCAUCUGGUACACACAAUCGACUCCCAUAGUGGAGGAUCCCCUUACUGUCAAAUCUGAACUCACUGUCCUUGCCUGACUGAACAGUCCUGGCAAUCUUCAC
rnacentral:lncRNA from 1 species